GUCAGGAUGGCCGAGCGGUCAAGGCGCUGCGUUCAGGUCGCAGUCGUCCUGGCGUGGGUUCGAAUCCCACUUCUGACA
rnacentral:tRNA from 1 species